GGACAAGCCCAGCAGCUCUCCAUUGUAAGAUAGAAAUGAUACAUCUGGGGUCCAGCCCAAGCAGAGCCAGAAGGCCAAGAAAAAAAAAGGCCCACCGGAAUGCUGGAGUUGCUGCUUGCAGAACUUAUAAAAAGAAAUGGAUCUAAGUGGUACAAGGGAUGGACCAUAACAGAUGCUGUGAUAUGCCAUCUGGCUCAUGCUUCAAGACCAAAGGACUUAUUCCCCCAAGUUCCUGGGAGUUCUGCUGGUCAUUGACCUUCAGCAAUCAGCACUUUUUUUGGAAGAUGAGAUUUGACACAGAAAGGUAUGGAGGCAAGACCAUGAGAAGAUAUAGCAAGAAGGUACAAACCAAGGAGAGAGGCCUCAGGAGAAACCAAUGCUGCAACCACCCUGACCUCAGACUUCUAGUCUCCAGAAUAACGUGGGACCUCCAGGCUUCCUCCACAGACUAG
rnacentral:lncRNA from 1 species